UACGUAGGUGGCGAGCGUUGUCCGGAAUCAUUGGGCGUAAAGGGAGCGCAGGCGGGAAAUCAAGUCCAUCUUAAAAGUUCGGGGCUCAACCCCGUGAUGGGAUGGAAACUGGUUUUCUUGAGUGCAGGAGAGGAAAGCGGAAUUCCUAGUGUAGCGGUGAAAUGCGUAGAUAUUAGGAGGAACACCAGUGGCGAAGGCGGCUUUCUGGACUGUAACUGACGCUGAGGCUCGAAAGCGUGGGGAGCGAACA
rnacentral:rRNA from 1 species